rnacentral:piRNA from 1 species
UGGCAAUGUUGUGCAGUCAGAUGACCCGGUU